GGGUUGUGAGGUUAAGCGACUAAGCGUACACGGUGGAUGCCCUGGCAGUCAGAGGCGAUGAAGGACGUGCUAAUCUGCGAAAAGCGUCGGUAAGGUGAUAUGAACCGUUAUAGCCGGCG
rnacentral:rRNA from 4 species